UACGGAGGGGGCUAGCGUUGUUCGGAAUUACUGGGCGUAAAGCGCACGUAGGCGGCUUUGUAAGUUAGAGGUGAAAGCCCGGGGCUCAACUCCGGAAUUGCCUUUAAGACUGCAUCGCUAGAAUUGUGGAGAGGUAAGUGGAAUUCCGAGUGUAGAGGUGAAAUUCGUAGAGAUUGGAAAGAACACCGAUGGCGAAGGCACUUUACUGGGCUAUUACUAACACUCAGAGACGAAAGCUAGGGUAGCAAAUGGG
rnacentral:rRNA from 1 species